rnacentral:rRNA from 1 species
AUUAACGCUAGCGGCAGGCAUAAUACAUGCAAGUUGAACGGCAGCACAGGUAGCAAUACUGGGUGGCGAGUGGCGCACGGGUGCGUAACACGUAUGCAACCUACCCUAUACAGGCGAAUAACCUUUAGAAAUGAGGGCUAAUACGCCGUAGUAUUACAGAUGGGCAUCUAUUUGUAAUUAAAGAUUUAUCGGUAUAGGAUGGGCAUGCGUCCCAUUAGUUAGUUGGUAAGGUAACGGCUUACCAAGACGAUGAUGGGUAGGGG